rnacentral:rRNA from 1 species
UACGGAGGGUGCGAGCGUUGUUCGGAUUUACUGGGCGUAAAGGGCGCGUAGGCGGCGGGGUAAGUCGGGUGUGAAAUCUCAGAGCUCAACUCUGAAACUGCACUCGAUACUGCUCUGCUUGAGGACUGGAGAGGAGACUGGAAUUCACGGUGUAGCAGUGAAAUGCGUAGAUAUCGUGAGGAAGACCAGUGGCGAAGGCGGGUCUCUGGACAGUUCCUGACGCUGAGGCGCGAAGGCCAGGGGAGCAAACGGG